ensembl:lncRNA
CUCUGUGGGGUUGUACUUAUAGGCUUAUAUAUGUGUAUGAUGAAAGGGGAAUACUGUAAACUGUAAACAUGUUUCCUACAAGUGUGAUAUAGCCAUACGUAUUUCUGCUCAGGUUCCCGGAUUGGUGAUGUCACGUGAACGGCUAAGUCUUCAGCCAGGCCAUCAGGCUAAUCAUCGAAAACGCAGCCAGCAGCAGACAUCAUCCUCCUCCUCUCACCCUCAUCCAGGGCCUUCUUCCAUUCUCGUCUCAGACACCACCAUGACGCCUUGGGGAGGCCUGGCUCUCUCCGAAUCCUCCUUUACCUCAAUCCCUCCGCCUCCCCCUCCACGGCCCCCACCACUUCUACCCCCACCCCCACUCCCUCCUGCUCCUCAGCCCACACCGUCCACUCUUUAUCGUGGCAGACAGAACGAAGACAAGGAAGUUUCAAGUUCAAGUUUUAACUCUGAGGCUCCAUCUCCACCUGGUGCCGUCCCUCAGGACAGUGUGGCUGCAGCUGGAGCUGUGAGAGGCUUGCGGGCCAGGCGGAGGUUGUUGCCCCAGAGUCGGGUGCCUCGUCCUCCCCGUCUCCCACCACUGCGUCCCGUCACCAACCUCAGUUUCUCUCGGAGCUUCACCUUCUCUUUCUUCGAGCUGCCGCUGCACCAGUCGCCUCGCUGUCGUGCCGAACGCAUAAGAAACCUCAUGCUGCUUUUGAGACAGAUACACUACUGAGAAAUCAGUGCUGCAUGGACAGUUGUAUUUUUCUAUUCAUAGGACAUAGGAAUUUACUUUUCUCAAAUAUAGUAUUUACUUUUAUUAGUGCUAUAUAUUAAACAGAGAGAAUACAGUGUACCGUUGUCGAAUCAAGAGGGAUAUAGAGAGAUAGAUAUAGGCUAUGCUAUAUUCACUGUUAACAAAUUAAACUGCUUUCAACUUUCUGUUGAUUAAGUGCAUUCUUUAUUUUUAAUGAGCCCCAUCUUUUACUUUUGUAUUAUCCAAGACUUACACUUUUCUUUGUUUGUGCAAUGUGUAAUGCCUGGCCACAUCCUCCAAACAAAAAGGGGGCAGCAUUUCACCUCCAUGAUUUGCACAUUUCAGCGUUGACACUGUUCAAGAUUGUUUACAGUUAGACACGCAAAAUAAACCUUGCAGUGUCGUCAAAAAUGUAUACUUUACAAACUUCCAGUCUUGUCUCAUCUCAUAACAGCAAUGCCAAGUGGUUAGAAUAUGAUGAACAUAUUGACAUUUUUUUAAUAGAAUAAAAAUUUCUAGCCAUCAGUUUAAAGAAAAUUGUUGCUACAUCCGAGCAACAAUACGAAACUCUGAGAGCCCGCAAAGCUAUCUUUGCUUAGCUUAGUUUGAGCAAUACUAUAGUGGCAAGAAGCUACAUUCACUUCAAAACCAUAUAUCGAUGCCAUUUGGAAUGUUUUUCGAUACGAUUUUUGUUGUCAUUAGACGCACUGAAGAUUUCACUAAAUAGAAUUAGAUUUUACUUAAUAGUUGACAAAACAUUGCGAAUUCAACAUCAAACCUCAUCUCUUUACUCGCCAAGAGCUGUCUCCCGUGGUGGAAAGCCAGGACAAUGUUUACUCUUGUUUUCUUAGCCAAUAAUGUGGCUUCUUGCCAGUAGUGGGUGAUUAGGAUGGUGAUAAAGGUUGCAUGCCAAGAGCUUCAGCCAUCUUUGUGUUUACUGUGCCGUUCAACGUGAUUGACAAGCCCUCAGCGCAGCCCUACUUUGUUCUCUGGACUGAGGUCAGACAGGCGCUACAGUGACUCACUAUCGCCUUUUGAGGAACAAGUGGUAUUACAAGACAGGACGGGCCAGGGCUCGCUGGUUAGCAUGCUAAUUGUAGUAGAUAUCUCUGCAACACAAGAAGUCUUUGACAUGAUGCAAAAACCAUUACUUCUUCACAUUCUGUUGAUAAUGUUAGUUAAUUUAUUUUUAGAUUUUAAAAUACAAUUCUGGUCACAUCUUACACAUUGCACCUUUAACAGUUUUGCUCUUCCAAUUCCUUACUGUGGUGAG